AUUGAACGCUGGCGGCAUGCUUUACACAUGCAAGUCGAACGGUAACAGGCCGCAAGGUGCUGACGAGUGGCGAACGGGUGAGUAAUGCAUCGGAACGUGCCCAGUCGUGGGGGAUAACGCAGCGAAAGCUGCGCUAAUACCGCGUACGAACUAUGGAUGAAAGCGGGGGACCGUAAGGCCUCGCGCGAUUGGAGCGGCCGAUGUCAGAUUAGGUAGUUGGUGGGGUAAAGGCUCACCAAGCCAACGAUCUGUAGCUGGUCUGAGAGGACGACCAGCCACACUGGGACUGAGACACGGCCCAGACUCCUACGGGAGGCAGCAGUGGGGAAUUUUGGACAAUGGGCGCAAGCCUGAUCCAGCAAUGCCGCGUGCAGGAAGAAGGCCUUCGGGUUGUAAACUGCUUUUGUACGGAACGAAAAGGCUCUGGAUAACACCUGGGGCUCAUGACGGUACCGUAAGAAUAAGCACCGGCUAACUACGUGCCAGCCGCCGCCGUAAGAC
rnacentral:rRNA from 1 species